UUCGUUAUUAGAUCGGGGGGCGCUGCACCUAAGAGGAGAUCAAGUAGGUUAAAAUGUACUCGUCGUAUUUAUUCUUGACCAAUCCAUGUCACCGUCGUCUUCACUUGGAUCUUAGAGGAACACACGUUACUCCCACGACCAAAGGUUACCCAAAAUCUUUUUUUUUUUUUUUUUAAUCUCCACAUCAAAUUUCAUUGAUCAAGAGAGAAUCUUGAUAAAUUAAUUUGAUUUUUAAUUUUACCCAAAUUUAGAUGCAAACUCAACUCUCUAUUUUCAAACAUUUCGGCUAUUUAGCAGUAGAACUUAUCCAAACAGUUAUAUGAUGAUUGACGUUGAUAGAUAGAUAUAUAUACAUACACCCACAGACAUAUAUAUACAUACAUACAUACAUUUGAUUUAUUUAGAGAUAUCAGAUAUACCAUUGAUCAAUAUAUAUUUUGCGAAACCUGCGCAAUUCUGAGAUUAAUUAAUUUUAUAAAGGAAAAAAAAAUGGGAGAUAAAAAGUUGACUAUGAUGAUCUAAGCUAAAAUGAAAUAUGUGGAUCCAUUUCUAAAUUAUCAGAAAACCUUGAGAGCCUGAGCUCCAUUUUUUUUUUUCAUUAAAGUAUACAUACAAACGGACAUAUCCCGGCUUGAAGAUGUGGGCAUGAAAAUUCGUGCAUAUUGCAGAUAAAUUAUGGUGUGCAAUUUAUAUAGAUAAUGACGAAAGCCCGAGGCCAUGUUAUCGUGGGACUUUGAGCAGAGAUAGAGAUGAAGGUAAUUAAACAAAGUAGAGAAUUAAGACAAGGACAGGCGAAGGCAUGCCUGCCCACAAAUAUAAAAUCUUUAAAACAAUUUUGUAUUCUUAUUUUUCAUAUAAUAAUCCACUCAGACAUGUGCAUAUGUAUAGCUGUAAUAUAUAUAUAUAAAGUUAGGAUCUACAUUAAAAUGAAAAAUAUAAAUUGUAAUAUAUUAAACACUAUAUUUUUUUAUUUGUUAAUAUAUUAAAAUUUAGAUUUUUUUUUAUCUGUUUGUGACAUCUUAUGAUGUUCUCACCGGAGAAUUAUUAAUAAUUUUAAAAUUUAAAAUUACACUUAUUUAGGUGUGGCUUAACAUGUUUUUAUUCUCAAUUUAGCUUUUGCAGGAAAACGAUGGAUAUGAAGCUUCCCCUUUUUGAAAAAAAUGCGGAUUCGGCUAUGCAAUACGGUACUAAUAUUUGUACAGAUUACAUUUCUAUUUGAUCAAGCUAUAAAUUUGUUAUUAUUACAACGUGAACAUUAAUGUUAAAUUCCUUUACAAGUUUCUUCAUUCAUACUUAAGUCUGAAAAAAAAUUUAUUAGGUGUGGGAUUUUGUAUGAUUUAAAAUGUAAAAUUGAGAUUAGUUACCACAGUCUAUCUAUUGUUGGUUGUAAUUCAAUGUUGUACUACAAGUUAAUAUAGAAACUCGUUAUAACCCUGCAAACUCAAAAGCUUAAGCUACUAGAUAAACGAGUACUGAAUUUAUUAAGACCCGAGCUUAUUGAGUCAACCCAAAAGUUAAGCAAUUAGAGAAGUGUUUUAAUUUUCACUUUACUAAUUGUUAGUACACUUUUGUUCCUGAUUGUAGGGUAUCUCGUGUUCCAUGGAGAGCAAGGAAAAUAACAAAUGAGUGAUGAUAAGCCGUAACUGGAUUUUCUAAGGACAUGUGCAAAAAUUUAAUUGGUUUUUCAGUUAUCAGACAAAACAUACGUAUGAUGGCUACUUUGUUAUAUUAGUAACAAAGAUAUAAAUGCCAAAAAAUUAUUUCUUUUUCAAAAGAGUAGAUAUUUAUGCUUAUGAGAUACAAGCCAAAAGUGGUUGAGAUGAUUCCAUUUGAUAAUCUAAUAAAAAAAUUGCCAUAAAUCAUCUUUGAAUAUUGUUUCACUUAAAAA
rnacentral:lncRNA from 1 species